rnacentral:rRNA from 1 species
UUAAGUGACUAAGCGUACACGGUGGAUGCCUAGGCGGUAGAAGGCGAUGAAGGACGUAGUAACUUGCGAUAAGCCACGGGGAGUUAGUAAACAAGCUUUGAUCCGUGGAUUUCCGAAUGGGAAAACCCACUCAUUUUAUGAGUAUCCCUUUAUGGGAGGCAAACCUGGAGAACUGAAACAUCUAAGUACCCAGAGGAAAAGAAAUCAACCGAGAUUCCCUAAGUAGCGGCGAGCGAACGGGGACCAGCCCUAAAGCAUUUAUUAAGAUAGCAGAACACUCUGGAAAGUGUGACGAUACAAGGUGAUAGUCCUGUAUGCAAAAUCUUAUUAAGUGUUAUUCGAGUAGGACGGAACACGUGAAAUUCUGUCUGAACAUGGGGGGACCACCCUCCAAGGCUAAAUACUCUCUACCGACCGAUAGUGAACCAGUACCGUGAGGGAAAGGCGAAAAGAACCCCGGAAGGGGAGUGAAAUAGAACCUGAAACCGUGUACGUACAAGCAGUGGGAGCACCUUCGUGGUGUGACCGCGUACCUUUUGUAUAAUGGGUCAGCGACUUACGUUAUGUUGCAAGGUUAACCGAAUAGGGGAGCCGAAGGGAAACCGAGUCUUAAAUGGGCGAUUAGUAGCAUGGCGUAGACCCGAAACCGGGCGAUCUAUCCAUGGCCAGGUUGAAGGUUGGGUAACACCAACUGGAGGACCGAACCCACGUAUGUUGAAAAAUGCAGGGAUGAGCUGUGGAUCGGAGUGAAAGGCUAAUCAAGCCCGGAGAUAGCUGGUUCUCCUCGAAAUCUAUUUAGGUAGAGCCUCAUGUAUCACUGUUGGGGGUAGAGCACUGUUAUGGUCUAGCGGGCCGUCAAGGCUUAGCAGCCCAUUGCAAACUCCGAAUACCAACAAGUGCAAUCAUGGGAGACAGACUGCGGGUGCUAACGUCCGUUGUCAAGAGGGAAACAACCCAGACCGCCAGCUAAGGUCCCUAAACACUAUUAAGUGGGAAAGGAUGUGGGAAGGCUUAGACAGUCAGGAGGUUGGCUUAGAAGCAGCCACCCUUUAAAGAAAGCGUAAUAGCUCACUGAUCGAGUCGGCCUGCGCCGAAGAUUUAACGGGGCUAAAUAGUGUACCGAAGCUGCGGAUGCCGUAAGGCAUGGUAGAGGAGCGUCGUGUAAGCCUGCGAAGGGGCAUUGUAAAGUGUCCUGGAGGUAUCACGAGUGCGAAUGCUGACAUGAGUAGCGAUAAAGGGAGUGAAAAGCUCCCUCGCCGAAAGACCAAGGGUUCCUACGCAACGUUAAUCGACGUAGGGUUAGUCGACCCCUAAGGCGAGGCCGAGAGGCGUAGUCGAUGGGAAAUAGGUUAAUAUUCCUAUACUUUUUAUUACUGCGAUGGAGGGACGGAGAAGGCUAGGCAAGCUUGCUGAUGGUUGCAAGUUCAAGCGUUUAGGCAGAGAUCUUAGGCAAAUCCGGGAUCUUAAUGCUGAGGCGUGAUGAGGAGUCCUCUUUUGGACGAAGUUGUUGAUGCCAUGCUUCCAAGAAAAGCUUCUAAGCUUCAGGUAAUAAAGAAUCGUACCCCAAACCAACACAGGUGGUCAGGAUGAGAAUUCCAAGGCGCUUGAGAGAACUCGGGUGAAGGAACUAGGCAAAAUGAUACCGUAACUUCGGGAGAAGGUAUGCCCACGCGAGUGGGCCGCAGAGACUAGGUGGCUGCAACUGUUUACUAAAAACAUAGCACUGUGCAAAAUCGAAAGAUGACGUAUACGGUGUGACGCCUGCCCGGUGCCGGAAGGUUAAUUGAUGGGGUUAGCUUAUGCGAAGCUCUUGAUCGAAGCCCCGGUAAACGGCGGCCGUAACUAUAACGGUCCUAAGGUAGCGAAAUUCCUUGUCGGGUAAGUUCCGACCUGCACGAAUGGCGUAAUGAUGGCCACACUGUCUCCACCCGAGACUCAGCGAAAUUGAACUCGCAGUUAAGAUGCUGCGUACCCGCGGCUAGACGGAAAGACCCCGUGAACCUUUACUAUAGCUUUGCACUGGACUUUGAUACUAUCUGUGUAGGAUAGGUGGGAGGCUUUGAAGCAGUAACGCCAGUUAUUGUGGAGCCAAUCUUGAAAUACCACCCUGAUAUUAUUGAGGUUCUAACCUAGGCCAGUGAAUCCUGGUCAGGGACAGUGUAUGGUGGGUAGUUUGACUGGGGCGGUCUCCUCCUAAAGAGUAACGGAGGAGCGCGAAGGUACCCUCAGCACGGUCGGACAUCGUGCAAUGAGCGCAAGAGUAAAAGGGUGCUUGACUGCGAGACUGACACGUCGAGCAGGUGCGAAAGCAGGUUCUAGUGAUCCGGUGGUUCUGUGUGGAAGGGCCAUCGCUCAACGGAUAAAAGGUACUCCGGGGAUAACAGGCUGAUACCGCCCAAGAGUUCAUAUCGACGGCGGUGUUUGGCACCUCGAUGUCGGCUCAUCACAUCCUGGGGCUGAAGUCGGUCCCAAGGGUAUGGCUGUUCGCCAUUUAAAGUGGUACGCGAGCUGGGUUUAGAACGUCGUGAGACAGUUCGGUCCCUAUCUGCCGUGGGCGUUGGAGAAUUGAGAGGGGCUGCUCCUAGUACGAGAGGACCGGAGUGGACGAUCCGCUGGUGUUCCUGUUGUCUCGCCAGAGGCAUUGCAGGGUAGCUAUGAUCGGAAGGGAUAACCGCUGAAAGCAUCUAAGCGGGAAACCCGCCUCAAGAUAAGUUCUCCCUAGACUUUAAGUCUUCUAAAGGGCCGUUAAAGACUAUGACGUUGAUAGGCUGGAUGUGGAAGUGCAGUAAUGUAUGAAGCUAACCAGUACUAAUUACCCGUGAGGCUUAACUAU